GUGUUUCAAAUUAUUUUGCCAACAAAAUACAUUCAAAGUGUGGUAUGUGUGUGUAAACGUAGGCCAAUUUCUCGAGCCUACAAAAGGUGCACAUGGUGUCAAGUGAGGGUUCACUGGAAAAACUCCGGGGAGUGCACAUGCCCGUUCGUUACGGGCCAGCAAGCAUCCCCAGGGCGUUCUCGGUAAUGAUCCUUCCGCAGGUUCACCUACGGAAA
rnacentral:misc_RNA from 1 species